UACCGGAAUUAAUCAGACAAAUUGCUCCAGCAACGCUGACGGCCGUGAAGCCACCACGUGUCGCUCCGAAGACCUCUCUAAAUCAUUCAGUCGGUAGUAGAAGUCCUAAGAAGAUCUGUUUUGUUUGUUUAUUUCCGUCGGUUGCUCUCCUGGCUAGAGUCUUGUUCGUUACCGGGCUCUUCUUCUUCAUCAUCUUCUCUCUGGGCUGGUUUCCGCACUUAAACGUUUCCGUCUGUUGUGCGUGCGUAGCCCCUCCCCGCCGAACAACAACAACGCUUAACAAGACGACACUGGGUGACUGGAUAUACCGAAGUCUUUGUAAAACCGCGACAAAUUCGUAAUACCUUCGAUCUUGACUGAAAAAAUUGAAAACAAACGAAAAUCCAAUAGUUAAUUAACGAUAGCCUAUCAUUUUAAAUAAAAAACAAAAAAGCAAGCCCUUUCGAAAACAUAUAUAAACUAUAAUGAUAGAAAACAAUUAAAACAUGAACUUUUAGUUACCAAAAAUCCAAAUUUUUAGCAUAUCUACCCGAUUUUUAAACAUAUUCAGGUACAAAAUCGAGGUAAAAAAGAGAUCUUUAUUCUUAUUCAAUAACUUACUAACUAUAAUAUAAAUCAAAAGUAAUGUUCGUUAC